CAGUAGCCGCGGGAAUACAGAGGGUGCGAGCGUUAAUCGGAUUUACUGGGCGUAAAGCGUGCGUAGGCGGCUUCUUAAGUCGGAUGUGAAAUCCCUGAGCUUAACUUAGGAAUUGCAUUCGAUACUGGGAAGCUAGAGUAUGGGAGAGGAUGGUAGAAUUCCAUGUGUAGCGGUGAAAUGCGUAGAGAUCUGGAGGAAUACCGAUGGCGAAGGCAGCCAUCUGGCCUAAUACUGACGCUGAGGUACGAAAGCAUGUGGAGCAAACAGGAUUAGAUACCCGCGUAGUCCCUGUCUCUUAUAA
rnacentral:rRNA from 1 species